rnacentral:rRNA from 1 species
GCCUGCAAGUGAUAUUGAAUUCGAUACUGGAACGGUCUGGAAAGUCCGGCUACAGAGGGUGAUAGCCCCGUACGGGAAAUUGGGUUCAAAGUACUGAGCUUGCGAGAAGUAGAGCGGGACACGUGAAAUCCUGCUCGAAGAUGGGGGGACCAUCCUCCAAGGCUAAAUACUCGUAAUCGACCGAUAGCGAACCAGUACUGUGAAGGAAAGGCGAAAAGAACCCCGGGAGGGGAGUGAAAUAGAUCCUGAAACCGCAUACAUACAAACAGUAGGAGCCCGCAAGGGUGACUGCGUACCUUUUGCAUAAUGGGUCAGCGACUUACGUUCAAUGGCAAGCUUAACCGAGUAGGGGAGGCGCAGCGAAAGCGAGUCCGAACAGGGCGACAUGAGUCGUUGGGCGUAGACCCGAAACCAGAUGAUCUAUCCAUGGCCAGGCUGAAGGUGUGGUAACACACACUGGAGGGCCGAACCGACUAGUGUUGCAAAAUUAGCGGAUGAGCUGUGGAUAGGGGUGAAAGGCUAAACAAAUCUGGAGAUAGCUGGUUCUCCCCGAAAACUAUUGAGGUAGUGCCUCGUGUAUGGCUCCAGGGGGUAGAGCACUGUUAUGGCUAGGGGGACAUGGCGUCUUACCAAACCAUGGCAAACUCCGAAUACUUGGAAGUCUGAGCACGGGAGACAGAGCACCGGGUGCUAACGUCCGGACUCAAAAGGGAAACAACCCAGACCGCCGGCUAAGGUCCCUAAUAUUGACUAAGUGGAAAACGAAGUGGGAAGGCUAAGACAGUCAGGAAGUUGGCUUAGAAGCAGCCAUCCUUCAAAGAAAGCGUAAUAGCUCACUGAUCGAGUCUUCCUGCGCGGAAGAUGUAACGGGGCUAAGUCAAUAACCGAAGCCGCGGAUUCGCAGCAAUGCGAGUGGUAGGGGAGCGUUCUGUAAGCCUGCGAAGGCGGAUCUGCGAGGACCGCUGGAGGUAUCAGAAGUGCGAAUGCUGACAUGAGUAACGUUAAAGCGGGUGAAAAGCCCGCUCGCCGCAAGCCCAAGGUUUCCUGCUCUACGUUCAUCGGAGCAGGGUGAGUCGGCCCCUAAGGUCAGGCUGAGAAGCGUAGCUGAUGGGAAGCUGGUUAAUAUUCCAGCACCGAUUUCAAGUGCGAAGGGGGGACGGAGUCCUGAAGGUCAUCCGGGUGUUGGAUAUCCCGGUUUACGAGCGUAGGAGGUUGACAGGCAAAUCCGUCAACGGAUCUCCAAGGCGAAGGAUCGAGGUUGAGAGAUCAACUGAAGUGACUGAAUGGGCUUCCAGGAAAAGCCUCUAAGCAUCAGCUUGGAAUUGACCGUACCGCAAACCGACACUGGUGGGCGAGCUGAAUAUGCUCAGGCGCUUGAGAGAACUCAGGAGAAGGAACUCGGCAAAUUGACACCGUAACUUCGGGAUAAGGUGUGCCUUUGUAGUGUGAAGGGAGAAACACCCCGAGCAUGAAGAGGCCUCAGAGAAUCGGUGGCUGCAACUGUUUACUAAAAACACAGCACUCUGCAAAGAUGAAAGUCGACGUAUAGGGUGUGAUGCCUGCCCGGUGCUGGAAGAUUAAUUGAUGGGGUGCAAGCUCCUGAUCGAAGUCCCAGUAAACGGCGGCCGUAACUAUAACGGUCCUAAGGUAGCGAAAUUCCUUGUCGGGCAAGUUCCGACCUGCACGAAUGGCAUAAUGAUGGCCACACUGUCUCCUCCUGAGACUCAGUGAAGUUGAAAUGUUUGUGAUGAUGCAAUCUCCCCGCGGCUAGACGGAAAGACCCCAUGAACCUUUACUGCAGCUUUGCAUUGGACUUUGAACCGAUCUGUGUAGGAUAGGUGGGAGGCAGUGAAGCUAGGACGCCAGUCUUAGCGGAGCCAACCUUGAAAUACCACCCUGAUUUGUUUGAGGUUCUAACCUAGGAGCGUGAUCCGCUUCGGGGACCGUGCAUGGUAGGCAGUUUGACUGGGGCGGUCUCCUCCUAAAGGGUAACGGAGGAGUGCGAAGGUACGCUAGGUACGGUCGGAAAUCGUGCUGAUAGUGCAAUGGCAAAAGCGUGCUUGACUGCGAGACCGACAAGUCGAGCAGAUACGAAAGUAGGUCAUAGUGAUCCGGUGGCUCUGCAUGGAAGGGCCAUCGCUCAACGGAUAAAAGGUACUCUGGGGAUAACAGGCUGAUACCGCCCAAGAGUUCAUAUCGA